GCCAGCCGCUGGGUGCUUCGCGGUUGAGGAGGCGCAGGGACCGGGGGCCAGUAGUGACCGUAAACACGAGCCCCGGCCGUGUCCAGUCCCACUUGGUAGCCCGCAUGGCUGCCUAGCGGUCAGCACCGCGUGUCCGCGAGCCUAAUUCGCGCUUAGAGGGCACACAAUGGAGUGCAGGCUAAGGCGGGGAGCCGGCCAGGCCUCGCCGCGGCGUCCAUCUUGGGAGUGUAACAAGUUUUCAACUUGGGUGCACACACUGUCCCCGGAAUCCCGCGUUCCAGGGAGGAAGCGCCUUUGACAGCGCGCGCCGGUGCGUGGGGCCCGACGACGUGGGCCCGGGGAUGCGGACCUGGCGGAGAUGCGCGUUGGCUUCGAUUGUAGGCCAUUCCUUUUAGGAGCUGAGAAAGGAUCCAUUUUUACAGCAUUCUCGACCUGUGAUUCUUGGUGGGAGAAACUGUAGUUAUGUGGAUAAAAAUACAGUUAGCAAAAUAAAAAUGACAAUUUUA